AACGACUCUCGGCAAUGGAUAUCUCGGCUCUCGCAUCGAUGAAGAACGUAGCGAAAUGCGAUACUUGGUGUGAAUUGCAGAAUCCCGUGAACCAUCGAGUCUUUGAACGCAAGUUGCGCCCGAAGCCUUUUGGCCGAGGGCACGUCUGCCUGGGCGUC
rnacentral:rRNA from 1 species